UUUUAUGGAGAGUUUGAUCCUGGCUCAGGAUGAACGCUGGCGGCGUGCCUAAUACAUGCAAGUCGAGCGAACAGACGAGGAGCUUGCUCCUCUGACGUUAGCGGCGGACGGGUGAGUAACACGUGGAUAACCUACCUAUAAGACUGGGAUAACUUCGGGAAACCGGAGCUAAUACCGGAUAAUAUAUUGAACCGCAUGGUUCAAUAGUGAAAGACGGUUUUGCUGUCACUUAUAGAUGGAUCCGCGCCGCAUUAGCUAGUUGGUAAGGUAACGGCUUACCAAGGCAACGAUGCGUAGCCGACCUGAGAGGGUGAUCGGCCACACUGGAACUGAGACACGGUCCAGACUCCUACGGGAGG
rnacentral:rRNA from 1 species